rnacentral:misc_RNA from 1 species
UGCAUCUUCCUGCUGGCCUUA